AGAUUGAGGAAGAGAAGGGGCAGUCUAAGGGAGAGGAAGAGGUGCCGUAUUGAACACAGGUGUCACAGUCAGAGGAAAGGGGGUUGCGGGCACUGACUCUGCAGAUGGGAAAGAUAUGGCUGGUGACUGGAUAUUUGGCUUAGAGACCAGCCCCAACCACUUUCCUUCUACCUUUAACUAAGAGCAAGGCUCAAAGCAUGGGAGAAAAUCUUGAGAGGGAUGAUUGUAACAUGAAAUGAGGAGCACACUGAAGCAUUUCGGGGUGAAGGGCCAUCAUAUCUGCAGCUUCUUCUCAAACAGUUGAGGGAAAAAGUAAUGUAUAUACAUAUUGAGAGAGAGAGAAAAGAAGCAUCGCGGUGAAAUGGAAUCUGCGACUUUUUCUUCAGCACCAACAUGUCGUUGUUAAAUCUUGGAUCAAGUUCUAUGUGAACACAGAAUUUGGCCUUGCCAGGGAAAUAUCCAAAGUGUUUGUCAACCCGAAAGGCCACUUACGUGAUAACGGCCUUUGCAGCUUAGCAUAAGCAAAGAUUUUUUUUUUCCUCAGAAGAUGUGAAUGAGUUUAUUUCAACAGUUCAACACCUCUCCUUAGUGUUCUGCCAUGACUAGGCCUCCCAACCUACGUGCAGUGAGCAGACUCCUGUCUUACGUGUCCAAUUCAUCAAACAGCACCCGGAACACUCUAUGGCCCAAGUCCCAGGAGGAGAUCCAGCUUGCAGGUGGUGAGCUCUGUGUCCAUGACAUGUUCCAUUUUUAACUUCUAGCAGAAAGCAAUUCCUGCUGAAGGAAACAAAUGAGUGGAUGUAAAGUCUGUGUCCUUACAUAACCUGCCACAUGGAACUUCAGUUUUAUUGCAAGUCCAAUAUUAACACCAUCUAUCCCAGGAACAUCAUCUAUAUUAAAUUGUUUGAAAGUUUCCUCUAUUACAAAAAUUAAUUUCUUAGUUACUUCCUAGUGUGGUGCCUGUCAUGGGCACACUGUCCAAAAUAUUUUUAGGCAUAUAAAAAUUCUCAAACUCAGUGAAUAAAUAGAGCUAAUUAUUACAUCUAAGUAUUACUAAAUAUGUACCCAUCAGCUGCAAUAGUGAAUGUCAUGAUGUUUAAAAAUUGUCACACAAUUUAUCUUUAAUUUCCUAGACAUAUUUCCAGUACACUGAACAACAGUAUUUCUGGUUACACUUACAUUCACACGUGCUUAUAUUUUUUCAGGACACACAAUUUCUACUACAUGCAAUAGACACUCUUUU
rnacentral:lncRNA from 1 species